GACGAACCGAGCGAACGUUGUUCGGAAUCACUGGGCUUAAAGGGUGCGUAGGCGGGCUGCCAAGUUUGGGGUGAAAUCCUCCGGCUCAACCGGGGAAGUGCCUCGAAUACUGGCGGUCUGGAGGGAGGUAGGGGCGUGCGGAACUAACGGUGGAGCGGUGAAAUGCGUUGAUAUCGUUAGGAACUCCGGUGGCGAAGGCGGCACGCUAGACCUCUUCUGACGCUGAGGCACGAAAGCGUGGGGAGCAAACAGG
rnacentral:rRNA from 1 species